CUUCACCGAGCCCAGCCACAGCGGUCGCUCGGCCGGGCGGUCCUGGCCGUAGACGGCCAGCAGGGCCUGCGCCUC
rfam:Actinokineospora spheciospongiae strain EG49 contig1266_7, whole genome shotgun sequence.